rnacentral:rRNA from 1 species
AUUGAACGCUGGCGGCAUGCCUUACACAUGCAAGUCGAACGGCAGCACGGGAGCAAUCCUGGUGGCGAGUGGCGAACGGGUGAGUAAUAUAUCGGAACGUGCCCGGUCGUGGGGGAUAACGUAGCGAAAGCUACGCUAAUACCGCAUACGAUCUACGGAUGAAAGCGGGGGAUCGCAAGACCUCGCGCGAUUGGAGCGGCCGAUAUCAGAUUAGGUAGUUGGUGAGGUAAAGGCUCACCAAGCCGACGAUCUGUAGCUGGUCUGAGAGGACGACCAGCCACACUGGGACUGAGACACGGCCCAGACUCCUACGGGAGGCAGCAGUGGGGAAUUUUGGACAAUGGGCGCAAGCCUGAUCCAGCAAUGCCGCGUGCAGGAUGAAGGCCUCGGUUGUAACGUAGCUUUUGUUACGGU